rnacentral:tRNA from 1 species
CCUUUGAUAGCUCAGCUGGCAGAGUGGAGGACUGUAGUGUGUGGCAAGUGAUCCUUAGGUUGCUGGUUCAACUCUGGCUCAAAGGA